rnacentral:rRNA from 1 species
CGGACGGGUGAGUAACGCGUGGGCAACCUGCCCUGUACAGGGGGAUAACACUUAGAAAUAGGUGCUAAUACCGCAUGAGCGCACAAAGGCGCAUGCCUAUGUGCGGGAAGCCCGCGAGGGCGGUACGGGAUGGGCCCGCGUCUGAUUAGCCAGUUGGCAGGGUAACGGCCUACCAAAGCGACGAUCAGUAGCCGGCCUGAGAGGGUGGACGGCCACAUUGGGACUGAGACACGGCCCAAACUCCUACGGGAGGCAGCAG